GGGUGUGAGGACGAUCUGGCUGCGACAUCUGUCACCCCACUGAUCGCCAGGGUUGAUUCAGCCGACUGGGCUGGCUAGGCGGGUGUCCCCUUCCCCCCUCAACGAUCCAUGUGUGUCCCUCCCGAAGCUGCGUGCUAAGUCGAAGAGGACGACUACCCAAUAGAGGAGGACCGUUCCUCGGUCAGGGUGUACAAGUAGCUGCGUUCCCCUGCUGGAACCUCCAAACAAGCUCUCAAGAUAAUAGUUGUUUUAUAGUCUUGCCUUUUCCAUAUUUUGGAUAAUUUCACAUUUUU
rnacentral:snRNA from 1 species